CUUCCCCAGAAGCAGUCAACCACAGUGCAAAUGCCAACUUCUGCAGUAACCAUUUUCCUCCAUUUUAGACCCUCUAACGCAAGUGAGGCCCACCCAAAUUUAUUAAAUGAGGUUGGACUCAAAAGGUUUCCAUUAGGUUUUGCUAAAAUCCUGGCCAGCAUAUUCACAAAUUGAAAAGAUUUUUUUUAACUGCACAGUUAGUGAUAUUCAUUAUACAUGUUAGAUUAGCCAUUUAAAACUGCAUUUAAUUAUGCUUGGACAAAGCAGGAAAACCUGAGGUAGCUGUUCAGCAGAAUACAAUUUUACUUUUAAGCCAUGAGAGAGCUUUGGAUUGCACAGACAAAACAUGAACAAUUGUGCCCUGACAGAACAGAGGUCAAGGACUGAUUCCUAGCUGUCAAAAAUAAAAUGAAUACUUUUCAGCAGAAGGGAAGAUUGCAUUUAGACAGUCAAUUGAGGACUUGGAGGCUUGACUGUUGAGGAUCUGGAUUGCAAUCCCUUUUUCUACUCCAGAUCAAAUUAAAAGUUGACCACAUAUCUUUUCAGUUCAUCAGUUGUACAUUUGGACCAGCUGCAGCAGAAGGAAGAUCUGUAUUUAAGGUUCCAAGGAAUGCAGAGAACCCUGGGAAACACAAAGCAAAGUAUAAAAUACUCCAAGUGUGCGCAGUGAUUUCAGAAUAACUUACUCAGAUGAUGACAUUGUGAUGGAACAUGGAAACAAUAAAACACAUUGAUGACACAUCUGCAAAGUAAGAAAAGUCAAUGGCCAAAUCCACAUAUCUGGAAGACAUUCCUAACCAUUGAACUGAGAUGCACUUCACAAGAGAAGAGAAGGAAGAGGAGGAGUAGAAAGAACUCCCUUAUCAGCUGCCAAGAACUCCAUAGGGAGGCCAGAAGUCAAUAAAGAAAUAAUCCAUGACCACGACCAUAUACAAGAACAGGGACAGCAAAUACAUGAGAAUGCCAUCACCUGCAAGUUCCCCUCCAAGCCACUCACCAUCCUGACUUAGAUCUAUAUAUCACUGUUCCUUCACUGUCACUGGCUCAAAAUUCUGGAAUUCCCUUCCUGAUGGCAUUAUGGGUCGAUCUACACUGAAUGGAUUGCACCAGUUCAAGAAAGCAGCUCAAUACCACCUUUUCAAGGGCAGCUAAAGGUGGGUAAUAAAUACUGGCCCAACCAUUAGUGUCCACAUCCUAUGAAUGAUUAAAAAAAACCUAGAUAUUAUUUUUCUUGUGUGGCUGCUACCUUUAGUCAAUCCCAUGUGGAGAUUAAACCCGGAAGACACAGCUGCAUUGAUAAAGAGUGGAGUCAACUACAUCUGCUUCCCUUUACACCAGCAACAGCAAAUGUGAACACAAUGACAGCUUUAUAACACUGUUGGACUUCUUACCAAUUUUGUUUGGGUAGGAAAGUAUUAAUUGCACUCAAGUGGGAAUACAUGAACCUCGCAGAAUAAGGCUGCUUAGUACAACUAAAAAGUGCAGUACUUUAUAUACAAUCAAGCAAAGAGUGAAGCCGAGAACAUCAUCUAUGUGUUGGCAGAAUUCCCAGAAUUCUCCCCCUUAGUUACAAGCUUGGAUCCGUUCCCAAUGGACAAUGAAUGGGUUCCAGUGAAAUUGCCUCAACCAAUGAUAGUUCACAGAACAAUGCUCCUAUGAUCCUUCUACUUACUCCGUUUGGCAGAUGAAGUUUGUUUCUAGCCACUGAAACCUUAACAUCUUUCAGAAUCUCCAACACAUUUGGAUGCAACAUUGAUUAUAUUGUCCUGUGAACAGGUUUUAUUCCCCCCCCUUAACAUUUGCAAUAUUAUCUUGAAUAUUAGCCAUUACCCUGUUUCAGCCUGAAAAGCAAUUUGAAUAUAUAACUGCACUUUCUACAUGAUUGACUAAAGUAACGUUUUUAAUGUCUUUAAUCUUUAGUCAAAGAUGCCCCGGCUACCUCAGUGGACUGUUCACAUGAUCUUUCACAGGGAGCCUGUGUUUUUGCAUCUUCUUUUAGAGAAAUGAGAAUGUGGUCAGGCAAAUUAAUCAAACAACUGCAACAUCUUUCCUUCUGACUCAGAGGGCGUAACAAUGACUCCAGGGGCAGGGCUAGUGGAGUAAAUGACAGCAGGAUGAAAAAUGUAAAUCAUUAAGGAGUAAAAGAAAGACUCGGGGGUGGUGGGGAUGUAUGAUAAGAGAUUAACAGCUGUUAUGUUAUUAGCUGGAAUGGAAUUUCAGUGAUGUUAGAUCAUAUGGAACAGAGGAAUGAGAGAAAAUGAUUCUAAUGGACUCCUUCUGAACCAUGUCUCUGUAAAUAGUUAAUAAAUGUUCAUUUGUAAUAAUUAUUAUUUCCAGCCCUCAUAUGUCAAAAGAACCCAGUUGUGAGAUAUGUGUAAUUUCUAAGUGAAUUGCUUUCAAACCAUCUUUGGUAGUGCAGAGUUGGUGGAUGUACCUUGUAGAUGAGCUGACACUAAUUCCCUCCUGGCCCCAGUAUACUUCCCUUCA